rnacentral:lncRNA from 1 species
GUGGUGAAGCUUUCCAGGAUCUUUCUUUAAUAAGACGUACCUUACCAUUUGCAGGAUGGAACAGCUCUGCAGGUGUUUGUAGCUGAAGUUGCAAAUCAAAUAGUUGGCAUCGCAGUGAUCAGACAAGAAAUGGAUAUAGAGUACAUACGAUCUCAUUAUAACAUUGAGGAUUUUAUCUACUUUAGCCACCAUCAGCAAGAAGAACAUGGACGCUUGCACCAUUUUGCCCUGAACCCUAUUUUCCGACACUACACUAAGUUUUUCCUGAAGGAGAUCCUUCGCUUAGGCUUUAAGUCCUGUCUCUAC